ensembl:lncRNA
UACUGGACAUGCGAGCUUUGAGUGUCUGACUCUGUCGACAUUCCAAAAACUAGAGGUGAAAACAUGUCAUUUUGAACAUAAAAGUCUUGUGCAGAAAAAAUGCCGAAGAAGGAGAAGGGAGUCUACCGCUUCUGCUUAUUUGGGAACAAAAAUAAACUGAUCACAAUCAAUGAAAUUAUUGAAACUGUGGAACAGCUGAAAAAACAUGGCAUGCAACUGGAGGACCAUGCACUUCAUAAAGAAGGCCCCUGGGGUCAAGUUUGCCUGACACUUGGUAUUCAGAAUAAUAAAAAUAACCGCUACAGAAUUUGUGAUGCAUUUCGUCAGAACUUGUCUAUACCAGUCGAAGGGGAUUCAGAUAAUGGACAAAAGCCACCAGAGCAGGAAGAACUAUCAGCUGCUGCUUCUCUGUCACCGGUCUUCUCCUUGCAGGAGGAUGGACAGCUGUCUCCUGAGCAGCAACCAGAAGAAGAACUAUCAGCUGCUGCUUCUCUGUCACCGGUCUUCUCCUUGCAGGAGGAUGGACAGCUGUCUCCUGAGCAGCCUAACAGCAACUCAUCUGAUGAUGGAUUCAUAAGAGUCAGGGUCCCACUUGCAACAAAAUUUUUUUUCCUGAAAAGGAAAGAAUGGACUAAUAUAAAAAAUAAGAGAUCCCAAAGAGGAUACAAGGGACUACAGUGGACAAAUCUGAUUUCAGACGGAAUACGGACUGUGUUUCCAUAUUGUUCCUUUGCCUUCAAAAGGCACAGAGUCAAGGCUUUGGACUCAGUAAGAAAGGGCCCUUUCUUCUGGUGUCUGGGUUACUGCAGUUUUGAGGAUUGUCCAGUCACUGUCACUGUCACUGUAGAUAAUGAAGACGAUCUAAAGACAAAAGUCAAUUUUCAAGGUCUCGAGUGUGUGCACAACCAGUAUGAACUAAGAAGAAGACC